GCAGUUGUGGCCGAGUGGUUAAGGCGUUGGACUUGAAAUCCAAUGGGGAAAACCCCACACAGGUUCGAAUCCUGUCAACUGCG
rnacentral:tRNA from 1 species